CCUACGGGCGGCAGCAGUAGGGAAUAUUGUUCAAUGGGGGAAACCCUGAAGCAGCAACGCCGCGUGGAGGAUGAAGGUUUUCGGAUUGUAAACUCCUUUUGUUAGAGAAGAUAAUGACGGUAUCUAACGAAUAAGCACCGGCUAACUCCGUGCCAGCAGCCGCGGUAAUACGGAGGGUGCAAGCGUUACUCGGAAUCACUGGGCGUAAGGAGCGCGUAGGCGGGAUAGCAAGUCAGAUGUGAAAUCCUAUGGCUUAACCAUAGAACUGCAUUUGAAACUGUUAUUCUAGAGUAUGGGAGAGGUAGGUGGAAUUCUUGGUGUAGGGGUAAAAUCCGUAGAGAUCAAGAGGAAUACUCAUUGCGAAGGCGACCUGCUAGAACAUAACUGACGCUGAUGCGCGAAAGCGUGGGGAGCAAACAGGAUUAGAUACCUUGGUAGUC
rnacentral:rRNA from 1 species